GAACAUUGAGCCUUGAUGUGUAGGAUAGGUGGGAGGCUUAGAAGUGUGGACGCCAGUCUGCAUGGAGCCGACCUUGAAAUACCACCCUUUAAUGUUUGAUGUUCUAACGUUGACCCGUAAUCCGGGUUGCGGACAGUGUCUGGUGGGUAGUUUGACUGGGGCGGUCUCCUCCUAAAGAGUAACGGAGGAGCACGAAGGUUGGCUAAUCCUGGUCGGACAUCAGGAGGUUAGUGCAAUGGCAUAAGCCAGCUUGACUGCGAGCGUGACGGCGCGAGCAGGUGCGAAAGCAGGUCAUAGUGAUCCGGUGGUUCUGAAUGGAAGGGCCAUCGCUCAACGGAUAAAAGGUACUCCGGGGAUAACAGGCUGAUACCGCCCAAGAGUUCAUAUCGACGGCGGUGUUUGGCACCUCGAUGUCGGCUCAUCACAUCCUGGGGCUGAAGUAGGUCCCAAGGGUAUGGCUGUUCGCCAUUUAAAGUGGUACGCGAGCUGGGUUUAGAACGUCGUGAGACAGUUCGGUCCCUAUCUGCCGUGGGCGCUGGAGAACUGAGGGGGGCUGCUCCUAGUACGAGAGGACCGGAGUGGACGCAUCACUGGUGUUCGGGUUGUCAUGCCAAUGGCACUGCCCGGUAGCUAAAUGCGGAAGAGAUAAGUGCUGAAAGCAUCUAAGCACGAAACUUGCC
rnacentral:rRNA from 1 species